UAAAUCCCAGGAGGUUUACAUAACCCAGAUCAUAAGAAAAUCUAAGCGAAGUUCUAUGUUGAGGUCUGAUUGGAAAAAGACAUAAGCUCUGGAUUUAAAAGAUUAGAAGAGAGAGAAUAUGAUGUUUUAUUUAAACUGGAAGUUAAAGCAAAAUCGCAGGGAGAGACAAUUACAAGAUAAGUAGUGUAUCUGUGUGGGCAGGGAUUCUAAAGUCGAAACACUUAUGGAAGCAGCAGGAACCUAACUUAAAAAUUACGUAAAGAAGUGGAUGAAGUGAGAUGGCGCUGUGAGAGCUCUCUGCCUGCCGAGCACUUUAAAAUUUUUCCGUCUACUUUUUUAUGAUCUAAAAAUAUCCAGAAGAGAUCAACUAAGACUGCAAAUAAGGAAAUAAGGA